AGAACGAACGCUGGCGGCAUGCCUAAUACAUGCAAGUCGAACGAACUCUUCGGAGUUAGUGGCGCACGGGUGCGUAACGCGUGGGAAUCUGCCCCUUGGUUCGGAAUAACAGUUGGAAACGACUGCUAAUACCGGAUGAUGACGAAAGUCCAAAGAUUUAUCGCCAAGGGAUGAGCCCGCGUAGGAUUAGCUAGUUGGUGAGGUAAUGGCUCACCAAGGCGACGAUCCGUAACUGGUCUGAGAGGAUGAUCAGUCACACUGGAACUGAGACACGGUCCAGACUCCUACGGGAGCAGCAGUGGGGAAUAGUUGGACAAUGGGACGAAAGCCUGAU
rnacentral:rRNA from 1 species